UGGGGAAUUUUGGACAAUGGGCGAAAGCCUGAUCCAGCAAUGCCGCGUGUGUGAAGAAGGCCUUCGGGUUGUAAAGCACUUUUGUCCGGAAAGAAAUCCUUGGCUCUAAUACAGUCGGGGGAUGACGGUACCGGAAGAAUAAGCACCGGCUAACUACGUGCCAGCAGCCGCGGUAAUACGUAGGGUGCAAGCGUUAAUCGGAAUUACUGGGCGUAAAGCGUGCGCAGGCGGUUUGCUAAGACCGAUGUGAAAUCCCCGGGCUCAACCUGGGAACUACAUUGGUGACUGGCAGGCUAGAGUAUGGCAGAGGGGGGUAGAAUUCCACGUGUAGCAGUGAAAUGCGUAGAGAUGUGGAGGAAUACCGAUGGCGAAGGCAGCCCCCUGGGCCAAUACUGACGCUCAUGCACGAAAGCGUGGGGAGCAAACAGGAUUAGAUACCCUGGUAGUCCACGCCCUAAACGAUGUCAACUAGUUGUUGGGGAUUCAUUUCCUUAGUAACGUAGCUAACGCGUGAAGUUGACCGCCUGGGGAGUACGGUCGCAAGAUUAAAACUCAAAUGGAAUUGACGGGGUCAUAGCUG
rnacentral:rRNA from 1 species